rnacentral:rRNA from 1 species
UACAGGGGGGGCAAGCGUUGUUCGGAAUUACUGGGCGUAAAGGGCUUGUAGGUGGCCAACUAAGUCAGACGUGAAAUCCCUCAGCUUAACUGGGGAACUGCGUCUGAUACUGGAUGGCUAGAGUUUGGGAGAGGGAUGCGGAAUUCCAGGUGUAGCGGUGAAAUGCGUAGAUAUCUGGAGGAACACCGGUGGCGAAGGCGGCAUCCUGGACCAACACUGACACUGAGGAGCGAAAGCCAGGGGAGCAAACGGG